rnacentral:rRNA from 1 species
UACAGAGGUCUCGAGCGUUGUUCGGAUUCAUUGGGCGUAAAGGGUGCGUAGGUGGCGCUGUAAGUCGGGUGUGAAAUCCUGAGGCUUAACCUCGGAACUGCAUUCGAUACUGCGGUGCUUGAGGACUGGAGAGGAGACUGGAAUUUACGGUGUAGCAGUGAAAUGCGUAGAGAUCGUAAGGAAGACCAGUGGCGAAGGCGGGUCUCUGGACAGUUCCUGACACUGAGGCACGAAGGCCAGGGGAGCAAACGGG